rnacentral:rRNA from 1 species
AUUGAACGCUGGCGGCAUGCCUUACACAUGCAAGUCGAACGGCAGCACGGGAGCUUGCUCCUGGUGGCGAGUGGCGAACGGGUGAGUAAUGCAUCGGAACGUGCCCUGAAGUGGGGGAUAACGUAGCGAAAGUUACGCUAAUACCGCAUAUUCUGUGAGCAGGAAAGCAGGGGAUCUUCGGACCUUGCGCUUUUGGAGCGGCCGAUGUCGGAUUAGCUAGUUGGUGGGGUAAAGGCCCACCAAGGCGACGAUCCGUAGCGGGUCUGAGAGGAUGAUCCGCCACACUGGAACUGAGACACGGUCCAGACUCCUACGGGAGGCAGCAGUGGGGAAUUUUGGACAACGGGCGCAAGCCUGAUCCAGCCAUGCCGCGUGAGUGAAGAAGGCCUCGGGUUGU